UACGUAGGGCGCAAGCGUUGUCCGGAAUUAUUGGGCGUAAAGAGCUCGUAGGCGGCCAGUUGCGUCCGCUGUGAAAUCCUGGGGCUUAACCCCGGGCGUGCAGUGGAUACGGGCUGGCUAGAGGCAGGCAGGGGAGAACGGAAUUCCCGGUGUAGCGGUGAAAUGCGCAGAUAUCGGGAGGAACACCGGUGGCGAAGGCGGUUCUCUGGGCCUGUACUGACGCUGAGGAGCGAAAGCGUGGGGAGCGAACAGG
rnacentral:rRNA from 1 species